rnacentral:rRNA from 1 species
AGAGUUUGAUCCUGGCUCAGGAUGAACGCUGGCGGCGUGCCUAAUACAUGCAAGUCGAACGAAUCUCUUUUAGAGAUGAGUGGCGAACGGGUGAGUAAUACAUAGGUAACCUGCCCCUGUGCGGGGGAUAACAGGAGGAAACUCCUGCUAAUACCGCAUAGCCAUGAGCACCGCAUGGAGCUCAUGCCAAAUAUCCUUUAUGGGAUAGCGCAGGGAUGGACCUAUGGCGCAUUAGCUGGUUGGCGGGGCAACGGCCCGCCAAGGCAACGAUGCGUAGCCGGCCUGAGAGGGCGGACGGCCACAUUGGGACUGAGACACGGCCCAGACUCCUACGGGAGGCAGCAGUAGGGAAUUUUCGGCAAUGGGGGAAACCCUGACCGAGCAACGCCGCGUGAGCGAAGAAGGCCUUCGGGUCGUAAAGCUCUGUUGUAAAGGAAGAACGGCGCAUACAGGAAAUGGUAUGCGAGUGACGGUACUUUACCAGAAAGCCACGGCUAACUACGUGCCAGCAGCCGCGGUAAUACGUAGGUGGCGAGCGUUAUCCGGAAUCAUUGGGCGUAAAGAGGGAGCAGGCGGCCGCAAGGGUCUGUGGUGAAAGACCGAAGCUAAACUUCGGUAAGCCAUGGAAACCGGGCGGCUAGAGUGCGGAAGAGGAUCGUGGAAUUCCAUGUGUAGCGGUGAAAUGCGUAGAUAUAUGGAGGAACACCAGUGGCGAAGGCGACGGUCUGGGCCGCAACUGACGCUCAUUCCCGAAAGCGUGGGGAGCAAAUAGGAUUAGAUACCCUAGUAGUCCACGCCGUAAACGAUGGUCACUAAGUGUCGGGGGUCAAACCCCGGUGCUGCAGUCAACGCAAUAAGUGACCCGCCUGAGUAGUACGUUCGCAAGAAUGAAACUCAAAGGAAUUGACG